UUAAAGGAUUCUUUUGCAGCGCUUAUUGCGCGGCGAAAACCUUACACACUAUGUUUUUUUAAUUUGAAACUAUUGCUUUGGUCUGGCUUAGAAAUAGGUUGGGCCAAAGGUUUUAUCAAAACUUCAAUAUUUAUUAUUGAAUUGUUAUUUUUAAUUUUAUGUCAAUUUGUUGAUUAAUAUCAAAAAUCUUCAAAACUUUCAACAACGGAUCUCUUGGUUCUCGCAUCGAUGAAGAACGCAGCGAAAUGCGAUAAGUAAUAUGAAUUGCAGAUUUUCGUGAAUCAUCGAAUCUUUGAACGCACAUUGCGCCCUUUGGUAUUCCAAAGGGCAUGCCUGUUUGAGCGUCAUUUCUCUCUCAAAUCUUCGGAUUUGGUUUUGAGUGAUACUCUUAGUCAGACUAAGCGUUUGCUUGAAAUGUAUUGGCAUGAGUGGUACUAGAUAGUGCUGAACUGUUUUCAAUGUAUUAGGUUUAUCCAACUCAUUGACCAGUAAAGUAUUUGUUUAUUACACAGGCUCGGCCUUACAACAACAAACAAAGUUUGACCUCAAAUCAGGUAGGACUACCCGCUGAACUUAAGCAUAUCAUAGCCGCGAGAGAAAAGG
rnacentral:rRNA from 1 species